rnacentral:rRNA from 1 species
UACGGGGGGGGCAAGCGUUGUUCGGAAUUACUGGGCGUAAAGGGCUCGUAGGCGGCCAACUAAGUCAGACGUGAAAUCCCCAGGCUCAACCUGGGAACUGCGUCUGAUACUGGAUGGCUUGAAUUCGGGAGAGGGAUGCAGAAUUCCAGGUGUAGCGGUGAAAUGCUUAGAUAUCGUCAAGAACACCGAUAGCGAAGGCAGCUUACUAGGCUGUAACUGACGCUGAGGCACGAAAGUGUGGGGAUCAAACAGG